AUUAGGAUGGGUUUGGAAGGCAUGACAAGGAACAGUGAAUACCACGUGGAAAUAUAUUAGGGUUCUUUAAUAACAAGAACAGAAACUGUCUGGCUUGAAUGGAAAAAGUAGUUUAUUGUAAAGAUACAGGGUUGCUCUUGGACUUAAAAGAAAAGCUAAAAAACUGGGCCAGGAAGAAGGACAAAAACCAAGCUAACUCCAGGAAUCUAUGUAGCAGGCACUAGCAAGGUUGCAUUUUCAGGCCUCCGUUGAGAUAAGUCAGCUUCAUUUAUUUAUUGCCUUUGUCAUUCUUCUCAGGAUUCAUAUUCCGAGGACAAAGUUUCUGAUUGGUUUGGCUUUGGUUGUAUGGUUAGCCCAGAGGUAGGGGAGAGGAGCACAUCAGGCUGUAGCACACAGUGGGACAAGAGCAGUUCUUCUAUAGCAAAAUCAUGGGGCUGUUAACAGGAGGUGGAAUGGCUGUGUAGUGGCUGGAAGAAAACAGCAAAGGCUGUGACCAGAGUCUGCUCUGCUAAGGUGCAAAGGAGCUUGAACUAUGUUGGAGUAGGAUCAUUCUCCUGAAUGUGGCCAAGAACAACCAUCAAACCAAAAUCAAACCCCCUUGUUAGAGACUGAAAGUGUGGUGAAAUGGAAUACAAGAUAGUAACAUGACUCCUCUUGAAGGAUUGGAUAAGCUAGUCUAGGUUUGAAAUCUGAGGAUAUUUGCGUUGUCACCAAGUGAGUGAUGAUAAGACCGAAACUCAGAGGCAACUUCCUAUCACCAUCAAAUAGUAAAAUCCAAUGGUAGGUGUUACGGCUAAAUCCUGAAAUGAGGGUUUGGGGAUAAGCAGUCUGUGUGUGUGUGUUUAUGUUCCAAAGUCAAAUGUAGAUGCUUUGUUUUUUUAACUAGGUAUUUGCCUUGUGUUACAUGCAUUCCCUCUUUUUUCUAGUAUCAUGGUUAGGACUAUAGAAGCAAUCCCCAACAUUCCAAAGGACCCAUGUUCCCAGAGUUGAAAUCUAGGUUGAUGCUGGAUGUAAAGAGCCAUUUUCCUGUAGAACUGGUAGUAGCAGUUUUGUGGCUAGUCUGGGAGCCAACUUAAUUUAUAGUGUACCUUAGCUAUGACACUAGUCCAAGUAGGUGAGAUUAUUUUGAUCCCUUUCCAUCUCUGUUUCUCACCCCCUCACUCACCCCCUGGUACCCUUCUGAGUGCCAAGUCGCUUUGCUUUCCUCUGCUUCUCACUAGAAUGCUCUAUAUUCGAAAUUGCCUACCUUCCCUCUCCCUCAAAAAUCUUAAUUCCAUACAACUGAUUUAACACUCUAUAAAGAGGAAAGUAUUUGCAUUGAAUUAAUUUAUGUUAAGAUAU
rnacentral:lncRNA from 1 species